CUUACAUCCAAAUUAGCAAAAGCAGAUGCUAUUUCUCCAAAUAUUGAAGAAGACCCGUUUAAAGGUGUCUGCUGGAAACAUUGUCAUCACUUAGGUGUAUUCUUGAAUUGGGGAUUUCAUUGCCACCAGACAUUCAGCAACAGCAAUACGGCAGAGCAUGGAAGGUGAACCUGAGAUUAUGGACUUCAAUCAGCCCCCAUGAGACCAUGGCCCAUCAGCAAAGGUGAUACAGUUGUAUACAAAAACUAAAUGCCACACUUCCUCCUGGAACAUUAAUUGAAAAAAAAAUUUCACAG
rnacentral:lncRNA from 1 species